AGAGUUUGAUCAUGGCUCAGAUUGAACGCUGGCGGCGUGCCUAACACAUGCAAGUCGAGCGGUAACAGGUGUAGCAAUACAUGCUGACGAGCGGCGAACGGGUGAGUAAUGCUUCGGAAUCUGCCCAAUGGUGGGGAAUAACCAGCCGAAAGGUUGGCUAAUACCGCAUAAGUCCUACGGGAGAAAGCAGGGGAUCGUAAGACCUUGCGCCGAUGGAUGAGCCGAAGUCGGAUUAGCUAGUUGGUAGGGUAACGGCCUACCAAGGCGACGAUCCGUAGCUGGUCUGAGAGGACGACCAGCCACACUGGGACUGAGACACGGCCCAGACUCCUACGGGAGGCAGCAGUGGGGAAUAUUGGACAAUGGGGGAAACCCUGAUCCAGCGACGCCGCGUGUGUGAAGAAGGCCUGCGGGUUGUAAAGCACUUUUAGUGGGGAUGAAAAGCUCAGGGAUAACACCUCUGGGUCUUGACCUAACCCACAGAAAAAGCACCGGCUAACUCUGUGCCAGCAGCCGCGGUAAUACAGAGGGUGCAAGCGUUAAUCGGAAUUACUGGGCGUAAAGCGUGCGUAGACGGUUAUGUAAGUCGGGUGUGAAAGCCCCGGGCUCAACCUGGGAAUGCCAUUCGAGACUGCAUAGCUAGGGUGCGGAAGAGGGAAGCGGAAUUUCCGGUGUAGCGGUGAAAUGCGUAGAUAUCGGAAGGAACACCAGUGGCGAAAGCGGCUUCCUGGUCCAGCACCGACGUUCAGGCACGAAAGCGUGGGGAGCAAACAGGAUUAGAUACCCUAGUAGUCC
rnacentral:rRNA from 1 species